rnacentral:rRNA from 1 species
UACGUAGGGUGCAAGCGUUAAUCGGAAUUACUGGGCGUAAAGCGUGCGCAGGCGGUUUUGUAAGUCUGUCGUGAAAGCCCCGGGCUCAACCUGGGAAUUGCGAUGGAGACUGCAAGGCUUGAAUCUGGCAGAGGGGGGUAGAAUUCCACGUGUAGCAGUGAAAUGGGUAGAGAUGUGGAGGAACACCGAUGGCGAAGGCAGCCCCCUGGGUCAAGAUUGACGCUCAUGCACGAAAGCGUGGGGAGCAAACAGG